AUCCUUCGGGGUGAGUGGCAGACGGGUGAGUAACGCGUGGGAACGUGCCCUUCAGUUCGGAAUAACCCAGGGAAACUUGGGCUAAUACCGGAUACGUGCGAGAGCAGAAAGAUUUAUCGCUGAAGGAUCGGCCCGCGUCUGAUUAGCUAGUUGGUGGGGUAAUGGCCCACCAAGGCGACGAUCAGUAGCUGGUCUGAGAGGAUGAUCAGCCACAUUGGGACUGAGACACGGCCCAAACUCCUACGGGAGGCAGCAGUGGGGAAUAUUGGACAAUGGGCGCAAGCCUGAUCCAGCCAUGCCGCGUGAGUGAUGAAGGCCUUAGGGUUGUAAAGCUCUUUCAGCGGGGACGAUAAUGACGGUACCCGCAGAAGAAGCCCCGGCUAACUUCGUGCCAGCAGCCGCGGUAAUACGAAGGGGGCUAGCGUUGUUCGGAAUCACUGGGCGUAAAGGGCGCGUAGGCGGCUUUGUAAGUCGGGGGUGAAAGCCUGUGGCUCAACCACAGAAUUGCCUUCGAUACUGCAUGGCUUGAGACCGGAAGAGGUUAGUGGAACUGCGAGUGUAGAGGUGAAAUUCGUAGAUAUUCGCAAGAACACCAGUGGCGAAGGCGGCUGACUGGUCCGGUUCUGACGCUGAGGCGCGAAAGCGUGGGGAGCAAACAGGAUUAGAUACCCUGGUAGUCCACGCCGUAAACGAUGAAUGCCAGCCGUUGGCGAGCUUGCUCGUCAGUGGCGCAGCUAACGCUUUAAGCAUUCCGCCUGGGGAGUACGGUCGC
rnacentral:rRNA from 1 species